rnacentral:lncRNA from 1 species
AAAGUUUUCAUUAAGUAUCCGACCUACAAUGAAACAUGCGAUUUUUCUGUAGGAGUGGAAACCUACCUGCGGCAAAAUCGUGAGUACUGACGAGUCCUGUGCAGCUCUUGCGUUUUCUCCCUUCCAGGGCCAGAGUGGAAACCUACUGGUCAGGGUUGCGAGAAACAGUUGGUUAUAAUCAUGACGGUGACAGUAGUCAUACUGUCGAACUCUAGCUCUAGAACCCUAAUAUUUCGAUAUCCGUCAGUUCCAAUCUAAAAUCCCUAGUAUUGAAACCGAUUAUGAUCCCUGUAGAGUUUUCGAAAGCCCAGCGUUUUUUAAUCACUGUUUACAAACCAAUCGAUAUUUACUUGCUUUUUUAGAUCUGCAUUUUAUUUGUCUUAGUUUGAUUUUCUGCUUGUUUCAUUUGCUUUCAUUUGCUUUCAUUUGAUUUUUUACUUGUUAUUUAGGAUAGUUUCAUUUGCUUUCUUUAUCCGUGACAAACAAUAACCCCUUUAAAACCAAUUUAGUCUAAACAUAAACUUAGAAACCAUGGAAAAAUACUAGGCACACAAAAUUUCUGUGGAUUCGAUCCCUAAAUACUACAACUGAUUAGCUGACUUUAAUUUGUUUUUAUUAAGGAUAAAACUUAUUCCUUCACCUUGUACUACAUCACUCACAAAGCUCCGUCGAUGGCUUUACGGCGGCGAAAAACUACUUUUCUUCUUCUUUGAAUUCUCGAUCUCGUCACCCACUGCUGUCCUCACGCGGUUGUAGAACUGAAGAAUAGAACUCACCUCUGUCGAAUCUAAGUAUCCCAACCACCGUUCAUGCCAUCAGGAGCUAUCCACACGCUUACCCCUGGAUCUCUGAAGCACAAGCUGGAGUAACUAACAAACCAGAGGAGGCCUCCUUACAACAUGGCAAUGAACGCCAAAGGCCGGAGAAGACCUCAGACUUCUGAGAACUAGAAAGAGGUUGAGAGAGAGAAAAAUUUGACGAGUAAGAUCCACGCGCUAAAAUUAUUUUCGGUAGAUCCAAAACCUUCCUAUCUGAAAUACCUGAAAUUGAUCGGUUCCUUUCCGAAAUUAAACCGAAUAUCCGAAUCGGUCUAGCGGUCACCAUCUAGAACUUCUUCAACUCAAGGAGUUUGUUCUCGACGUUGAAGAGCAUCACAUUGACCUAGAUUUCCUAUAAUAUCAACCGCAGUAUCCGUUCACAUUUCCUUAAACAAAAAACUAAUGUUCCUUUUUUAAUCCCUUUAAAUAACAUAUUUUUGGAAAUAAUAAUCAAUUCUCUAAAUUAAAAGACCGAGAAUAGACUCCCUCCUUUUCUAUAAAAAGACGACUCCACCAUUAUAGUUCUUCAUUCAUUCAUCAAAAAUCAUCAAACAAAUACAAAACUUAAAAAUCCUAAAAAAAAUGGCCGGAGAAGGAGAAGUCAUCGCUUGCCACACCCUCGAAGUCUGGAACGAGAAGAUCAAAGCCGCUAAUGAAUCCCAAAAACUUGUAAC